GUGAGUAGAGUAGGUCAACUUCCUGCCUACAAUAUAAUAAUGUAUGUGACCUGUCCAUGGAUGUGACCACGUGGCCCUGGCAGUUUAAUCAGCUGCACUACAUUUUGUUGUUCUAGCAGCAAUUAGGUGACACAUUCCCAAUUCAACCAAUCAGAGCCAUGCCACAAUAGUUAAUUAACAGAGACUUCCCACCACACCACAGGUACUGCAGAACCGGUUUCUUAUUCCAUAGAUGCUUCAAGAAACUCACAGUGUGCACAGUGUUGACUUUGCGCUGUAAAAAUCCUAGUCAGCAAUGACAGAGCUCAUUGGACCCAGAAGAGGCUCAAGCAGCCAUGCUCUGAAGAUUACAGGCUUCACCAUUUUGGUCUGUGUGCUGCUGUUCACUGAGGUCCUCAUGGUGUUAGGCGAGGAGCAGCAGAUAAAAGACCAGAAGGCUCCCCCGCCACACCCAGCCAAGAAGCACACCCAGCUCAGGUGCUCAAACAAUUCGCGGCAAUGCUGGUGUGUGGAUAAAGACGGAUCUCCAAUUAAGGACUCCUACACCUCACCCUAUCAAUCUGACCCCGACUGUGACAAAUUCUUGAGCUCCCAUCACACCAAACCCAACCCACCAGACAAACCAGUCUUGAGCUCCCACCACACCAAACCCAACCAGCUUUGCAAAAAUCCCAAGUCGCCUCAGGUCCCAAAAUUAGCCGUCUGUGGAGGCACCAAAAGUGAUACUCCAAUUAUGUCAGGCCUCGAUGAUGAUUCUGACAAUAAAAAAAACCCAACCUAACUACUAUGUGAAUGUUAGCAGCAGCUAAAUCUGGUACAAAUCUUUUUCUUUUUUUUUUUUUUCUUUU
ensembl:lncRNA